rnacentral:rRNA from 1 species
GACGAACCGUGCGAACGUUGUUCGGAAUCACUGGGCUUAAAGGGCGCGUAGGCGGGCUGCCAAGUCCGUAGGUGAAAUCCCCCGGCUCAACCGGGGAACGGCCUCGGAUACUGGCGGCCUGGAGGGGGGUAGGGGCGUGCGGAACUGUGGGUGGAGCGGUGAAAUGCGUUGAGAUCCACAGGAACUCCGGUGGCGAAGGCGGCACGCUGGACCCUUUCUGACGCUGAGGCGCGAAAGCCAGGGGGAGCGAACGGG